rnacentral:rRNA from 1 species
AUGGUGUGGAGGUACGAGCCCUAUUAGCAUAAGGAACAUCGCCCGGUAUCGGGGGAUAACUACGCGAAAGCGUAGCUAUACCGCAGACCCCUACGGGGGAAAGCAGGGGAUCUUCGGACCUUGCGCUAUGGAGCGGCCGAUUCGGAUUAGCUAGUUGGUGGGGUAACGGCCUACCAAGGCGACCAUCCGUAGCUGGUUUGAGAGGACGACCAGCCACACGGGGACUGAGACACGGCCCAAACCCCUACGGGAGGCAGCAGUGGGGAAUUUUGGACAAUGGGGGAAACCCUGAUCCAGCCUUCCCGCGUGUGCGAUGAAGGCCUUCGGGUUGUAAAGCACUUUUGGCAGGAAAGAAACGUCGCGGGCUAAUACCUCGCGAAACUGACGGUACCUGCAGAAUAAGCACCGGCUAACUACGUGCCAGCAGCCGCGGUAAUACGUAGGGUGCAAGCGUUAAUCGGAAUUACUGGGCGUAAAGCGUGCGCAGGCGGUUCGGAAAGAAAGAUGUGAAAUCCCAGAGCUUAACUUUGGAACUGCAUUUUUAACUACCGGGCUAGAGUGUGUCAUAGGGAGGUGGAAUUCCGCGUGUAACACUGAAAUGCGUAGAUAUGCGGAGGAACACCGAUAGGGGAAGGCAGCCUCCUGGGAUAACACUGACUCUCAUGCACGAAAGCGUGGGGAGCAAACAGGGAUUAGAUACCCGGGUAGUCCACGCCCUAAACAUGUCAACUAA